CAGACAACACUGCUGUUUCAUGCAGCUCCAACACUAACAGCAAAGCCUCGCAGGCAAAGAUGUUUGUCGUUUCUGUCUGGAAGAGCAAUCAACUGGCAUGGAGGACAGUGAAGAAGGAAACCCUCAUUGCAGGAGUGGGCAUCACAUCUGGAGGAAGCUGCUGGCAGCUCAGAGACGCCGAACAGACGUGGACCAAACAGGCUGCAGUGACUGAUUCCCAGCUACCACAGGAGACUGCCUCAUACAGCUUCAUUCCUAAUUUAGUAGGUAAUGUCCUGUGUUUCCCUGAGUUUAUUUUGUUCUCACUAAUCUUGCUAAGAUGCUAUUACAGACCUCACUUCUCC
rnacentral:lncRNA from 1 species